CCUAAACGGACGCGGUAAACGUGCUAAGGUAGCUAAAUUAUGGCCUAUUAAUUGUAGGUCCUGUGAAUGGUUUGACGAGUUUCCAACUGUCUCUAGUUUUUUUUGGUGAACUUGAAUUGGAUGUGCAAAUGCUUCCAUGGGUAAGAAAGACGAGAAGACCCCGUGAAGUUAGAAAUUGGGAAGUGGGGUGAAUAAUUUUGGCUGGGGCAGCAAAGGAGCAAAGCUAGACUCCUUUAAAACAGAUGUGUUACGACCCACAGGUGUGAUUAUCAGAAGAAGUUACUCCGGGGAUAACAGCGUAAUCGUCUUGAUAGUUCUUAUAGAUGGGCGGGUUUGCGACCUCGAUGUUGCUCUGGAUAUCCUAAGGCUUGAGGCGGUCUUGAGGGUUGGUUCGUUUUU
rnacentral:rRNA from 1 species